UAAUUUUAGUGUAUACUGCAUUUUGAACAAUACUCCAUUCCAAACAUAUCCCAGCCUAAACUCAGAAGAAUUCAUACAUAUUUUUCGAGAUAGCUAAUUCAUAUAAAUUCGCAUAAAGCAUAAAGUGCAUAAAAUUAAUUGUACAAAAACGUACGAUUAUCAUAAAAGAGCAACAAGGAAACCAUGCCCCUAAUUCCAACAUCAUGGGGGUAAAACCAAAUCGUUCAGGAGACUGUACGAAUGUGGUUGUACGAAUUAAUAUGUAGCGUGGCAUAUCCAUACAAUUAGUAUUUAGUUUUAGUGUAUACUGCAGUUUGUACUAUACUCCAUUCCAAACAUAUCCCAGUCUGAUCCCACAAGAAUUUGUACGUAUUUUACUAGUUGGCUAAUUCAUAUGAAUUCGUACAAAGUGAGUCGUACAAAAACAUACGAUUAUCAUUAAAAAAUCUGAAACGAAACCCCGCCCCUAACCCCAACGCCACGAGGCAAAAGCAAAUUGUACAAAAAUGUAAGAAUGUUGGUCGUAUGAAUUAAUACAAAUUAGCCACCUCAUAAAAUACGUACAAAUUGUCAUGAGAUAGCGUUGCAUAUCCAUACGCCAGCACUAGGAAGUAGUAUUUAGUGUAUACUGCAGUGUGUACUAUACUCCAUUCCAAACAUAUCCCAGCCUAAACUCACAAGAAUGCAUACAUAUUUUACGAGAUGGCUAAUUCGUAUAAAAUUUUGUAAAGUGAAUCGUACAAAAUCAUCUGAUUAUCAUAAAAAGCAACAACGAAACCGUAUCCCUAAUCCUAACGUCACAGGGGCAAAACCAAAUUUUGCAAAAAUGUACAAAUGUGGUUAUAUGAAUUAAUACGACUUCCCUCGUAAAAUACGUAUGAAUUGCCGUGAGAUAGCGUUGCAUAUCUAUACAUCUACACUAGGAAGUAGUAUUUAAUUUUAGUGUAUAUUGCAGUUUUAACUAUUCUCCAUUCCAAACAUAUCCCAUCUUGAUCUUACAAGAAUUUUACGAGUUUGCUAAUUCGUUUGAAUUCAUAUGAAGUAAAUUGUACAAAAGCAUAUGAUUAUCAUAAAAAAUCAAUAACGAAACCCCGCCCCUAACCCCAACGCCACGGGGCAAAAGCAAAUCAUACAAAAAUGUAAGAAUGUUGGUCGUACGAAUUAAUACAAAUUAGCCACUUCGUAAAGUACGUACGAAUUGCCAUGAGAUAGCGUUGCAUAUCCAUACACCUACACUAGAAAGUAGUAUUUAAUUUUAGUGUAUACUGCAGUUUGUACUAUACUUCAUUCCAAACAUAUCCCAGCCUAAACUCACAAGAAUUUGUACGUAUUUUAUGAGUUGGCUAAUUUGUAUAAAUUCGUACAAAGUGAAUCGUAAAAAACAUACAAUUAUCAUAAAAAAAUCUAUAAUGAAACCCCGCCCCUAACCCCAACGUUACGGGGCAAAAGCAAAUUGUACAAAAAUGUACCAAUGUUGAUCAUACACGUUAAUACAAAUUAGCCACCUGGUAAAAAUGUACAAAUUGCCAUGAGAUAGCGUUGCAUAUCCAUACACCUACACUAGAAAGUAGUAUUCAAUUUUAGUGUAUACUGCAGUUUGUACUAUACUUCAUUCCAAACAUAUCCCAGCCUAAACUCACAAGAAUUUGUACGUAUUUUAUGAGUUGGCUAAUUCGUAUAAAUUCGUACAAAGUGAAUCGUAAAAAACAUACAAUUAUCAUAAAAAAUCUAUAAUGAAACCCCGCCCCUAACCCCAACGUUACGGGGCAAAAGCAAAUUGUACAAAAAUGUACCAAUGUUGAUCAUACACGUUAAUACAAAUUAGCCACCUCGUAAAAAUGUACAAAUUGCCAUGAGAUACCGUUGCAUAUCCAUACACCUACACUAGAAAGUAGUAUUUAAUUUUAGUGUAUACUGCAGUUUGUACUAUACUUCAUUCCAAACAUAUCCCAGCCUAAACUCACAAGAAUUUGUACGUAUUUUAUGAGUUGGCUAAUUCGUAUAAAUUCGUACAAAGUGAAUCGUAAAAAACAUACAAUUAUCAUAAAAAAUCUAUAAUGAAACCCCGCCCCUAACCCCAACGUUACGGGGCAAAAGCAAAUUGUACAAAAAUGUACCAAUGUUGAUCAUACACGUUAAUACAAAUUAGCCACCUGGUAAAAAUGUACAAAUUGCCAUGAGAUAGCGUUGCAUAUCCAUACACCCACACUAGGAAGUAGUAUUUAGUGUAUACUGCAUACUCCAUUCCAAACAUAUCCCAUCUUGAUCUUACAAGAAUUUGUACGUUUUCACAAGUUUGCCCAUUCCAUUCGUAUGAAUUCGUAUGAAGUGAAUCGUACAAAAACAUGCGAUAAUCAUAAAAAAAUCUAUAACGAAACCCCACCCCUAACUCCAACGUCACGAGGAAAAAGCAAAUCGUACAAAAAUGUAAGAAUGUUGGUCGUAUGAAUUAAUACAAAUUAGCCACCUCGUAAAAUAUGUACAAAUUGCCAUGAAAUAGGGUUGCAUAUAUACACACCACGCGCUUCAAUAUUGACCAGAUAGUUGAGAUGGAUUUGUAAACAAUACUUCAAUCGAAAAAUUGCAGUUUGAAUCUACAUCUAUACUUUUUUAUUGAAGAAAAUAUAUAAAAAACAACCAAUACAAAUACAAAACAACAUUUCAACAUGACAAAUCUACAUCUUUACGUCUCCCUCUCUCGAACUGCUAGAGAUGUCACGACAGCUCCGCCUCUUUACAUAUUAAACACUCCUCUUUGGAUAUCAGCCCCGCCCCUAACAGAUGCUGAGGUGGUGACUCUGCAACACAGGAUUAGUGAUGCGCUCUGAGAGAUCACACGCUCCAACUUUUAAGUUCUGCAGAAAGAAACUCUGAGAGUUCUGGGCUCUGAAUCAGAAACUCCUGUCGAGCCGAGAUGCUCUCAGACUUUAACAGGCUAGGUCAACGCUCUCUGUGUAAAUGUGUGCUAGGGUCAUAUGAGCAAGCCGAUGCUCGCUUGACACAUAACAGUAUGACACAUGGUGCGAAACACACUCUGCUGCCCAGGCACAGAUGGUUGCUUGUGUUUGUGUGUGUGUGUGUAGAGAGGGGGGGUGGGUAUCAAGAUUAUAACAUGAAAUGAGCCUCAGUACGACUCCAAACAAUCAGGACGCUUUGAUUUCUUGUUGUUUUCUGUUCUAUCAUAUCAGUUUGAGAAUUUGAUACUGAUCUUUGUAAGUCGGUUUUAUCUUUACCUCUUCAAAUGAAUUGAAACCUCUUUUGCACCUUUCUAAACAUCACAUUUUACAAACCUUAAUAGCAGUUUUAAUAAUGAAGUGUCACAUGUAGACAUUCAAUAUUUAUGUGUGUAUCAAGACAACAAUCUCCAAUGUGUGUGUGUUUUUUUAAAGUUCAAAGACGGUCAGAGAUACAGUGUUUCUUUAUUUCUGAUGUUAGUUUUUGUUUACAGAGCUCUGUACAGUGUUUUCGGUUUCAGUGUUUUUCAGCCUGUGCAUCAUUCGUCUGUUAUGUUGUUGUUUAUAUGCUGUUCAGAAAAUUGUGAUGUUUUUGAAACAAAAAAUCCUGUAAAAUAAAGGAAGGGGAUGCUCUUCUGUUUGUGGAUACACACUGCGGUUGUGUGUUUGUGCGAGAGUCCAUUAAUCAUCUACUUUUCUCUCGAGUCUGACAUUUCAGACAGUUUUUAAAGUUCACUUUAUGUUGAUGUCUGCCAUCCGGAUUAUAAAACUUUUGCAUCUUUUGCUACUGUAACUUUUGUAACUGUCCUAUUAGCAGAACUUGCAGUCCACACAGUUACUCGUGCUGGUGGAUUCAAUGACUUUCAAGGGAAGCAGCAGAAUAAACUGGAAAGAGAAAGGAAGAGUUGGAGAGGAGCAGAUGGAGCGGUUCCUCUCUCCAGAUGUCUGAAGAUUUGUCAAAGUCAGACUAAAGGGAAGCCCCCCACAGCAGGACUGUCGACGCUCAUGAGGGCUUUACCUUCGACCCCCGGCUAUAUUUAUCCCAUUGUGCUGGACUAAUUACUGCUCUGACAUCACCUCUUCGAGACAGACAGCUGAUGAACAAAGCAUCUGGGAAGUAUUUUUAGGUGGGUCUUAAGAAACAAGAGCGGGAGAGCGUCAGGGACACAGAAAGAGAGAGAGACACACACAGGAAGCGCCCUUGCAGCUGGAUACAAUGUUAUCUCGGUAGCAUGACAGGAAGUAGGGUUCAAUCACUUCCUGUAGAGUAGGAGCUUUGUUAAGACACUGGUUUGGGUCUGAUUAGCUUCUUCCCACCUGAAGCUUCUCAGCAUGGGGGUGACUGGGGCAAGUUGUCACGUAAAGAUGUUGUUUAAACGCACAACCGCUGGGUUUAAAUUAGCCUAGAAAAUGUCCAAAUUUGACCCAAGCAUGGGCUGAAACAACUUGGCAUUGGUUAAUACAAACCCAGUGGUUGGACUUGUCCAUGUUUGACUCAAUCAUGGGUUGAAACAAUUCAGCAUUAGUUAAUACAAACAAAUUCUUGUUGCAUCCUUAAAAAUGCUGGGUUGUUAUUUUCAUUCAAGGGUUGAGUCAAAAAUAGUACAAACAAUAGGUAAAGUCACAAUCCAACAGGUUGGGUUUGUCCCUUUUUGACCCAAAGCUGUGUUAAAAAUAACCCAGCAUUUUUAGGACACAACUAGGAUUUGUUCAUGUUUGACCCAACCAUAGAUUGGAACAACCCAGCAUUGCUUAAUACAAACCCAACGGUUGGAUUUGUCUAUGUUUGACCCAACCAUAGAUUGAAACAGCUCAGCAUUGGUUAAUACAAACCCAACGGUUGGAUUUGUCCAUGUUUGACCCAACCAUAGAUUGAAACAACCCAGCAUUGGUUAAUACAAACCCAACAGUUGGAUUGUCCAUGUUAGAUCCAACCAUAGAUUGAAACAACCCGGCAUUGGUUAAUACAAACCCAACGGCUGAUUUGUCCAUGUAUGACCUAUCCAUGGAGUGGAACAGCUCAGCAUUGGUUAAUACAAACCCAACGGUUGGAUUUGUCCAUGUUUGACCCAACCAUAAAUUGAAACAACCCAGCAUUGGUACAUACAAACACAACGGUUGGAUUUGUCCAUGUUUGACCCAACCAUAGAUUGAAACAACCCAGCAUUGGUUAAUACAAACCCAACAGUUGGAUUGUCCAUGUAUGACCCAACCAUAGAUUGAAACAACCCAGCAUUGGUUAAUACGAACCCAGUGGUUGAAUUGUCCAUGUAUGAUCCAUCCAUGAGCUGAAACAACCCAGCAUCGGUUAAUACAAACCCAACGGUUGGAUUUGUCCAUGUUUGACCCAACCGUAAAUUGAAACAACCCAGCAUUGGUUAAUGCGAACCCAGUGGUUGAUUUGUCCAUGUUUGACCAUCCAUGGGCUGAAACAACCUAGCAUUGGUUAAUACAAACCCAACAGUUGGAUUUGUCCAUGUUAGAUCCAACCACAAAUUGAAACAACCCAGCAUUGGUUAAUACCAACCCAACAUCUGAUUUGUCCAUGUAUGACCCAUCCAUGGGCUGAAACAACCUAGCAUUGGUUACUACAAACUCAAUGGUUGGAUUUGUCCAUGUAACCAACCAUGGACUGAAACAACCCAGCAUUGGUUAAUACGAACCCAGUGGUUGAUUUGUCCAUGUUUGACCCAUCCAUGGGCUGAAACAACCCAGCAUUGGUUAAUACAAACCCAACAAUUGGAUUUGUCCAUGUUAGAUCCAACCAUAAAUUGAAACAACCCAGCAUUGGUACAUACAAACACAACGGUUGGAUUUGUCCAUGUUUGACCCAACCAUAGAUUGAAACAACCCAGCAGUGGUUAGUACAAACCCAACAGUUGGAUUGUCCAUGUUUGACCCAACCAUAGAUUGAAACAACCCAGCAGUGGUUAGUACAAACCCAACAGUUGGAUUGUCCAUGUAUGACCCAACCAUAGAUUAAAACAACCCAGCAUUGGUUAAUACGAACCCAGUGGUUGAUUUGUCCAUGUUUGACCCAUCCAUGGGCUGAAACAACCCAGCAUUGGUUAAUACAAACCCAACGAUUGGAUUUGUCCAUGUUAGAUCCAACCAUAAAUUGAAACAACCCAGCAUUGGUUAAUACAAACCCAACGUCUGAUUUGUCCAUGUAUGACCCAUCCAUGGGUUGAAACAACCUAGCAUUGGUUACUACAAACUCAAUGGUUGGAUUUGUCCAUGUACCCAACCAUGGACUGAAACAACCCAGCAUUGCUUAAUACAAACCCAACGGUUGGAUUUGUCUAUGUUUGACCCAACCAUAGAUUGAAACAACUCAGCAUUAGUUUAUACAAACCCAAUGGCUGAUUUGUCCAUGUAUGACUCAA